rnacentral:lncRNA from 1 species
ACCCAUCAUGUAUGUUGUAGAGAGGAGCAGUUUGACUCCGUAGAGAAUAGUGAGGGCACUGUAUAUCUGUCGGAUGGAUCGAGCUGUGUGAUCAGAGAUAUUGGGAUGGUCAGUUGGAGGAUACAUGAUGGUGCAGUGAGGAGAUUGGGGGAGGUCCGAUAUAUACCCGAUUUUAGAUGGAAUCUUAUCUCACUUAGCAGAUUAGAUUCGAGAGGUUACAGGACGAUAGCUGAUACACGGCGAUAGGAUUG